rnacentral:rRNA from 1 species
AAAGGAAUUGACGGGGACUCACACAAGCGGUGGAUCACGUGGCUUAAUUCGACAGUAAGCGUGGAACCUUACCAAGGUUUGAAACUCUAAUGAAAUCCUUCUGAAAGGAAGGCCCUCCGCAAGGACAUUAGAGCAGGUGCUGCAUGGUUGUCGUCAGCAGGUGGCUUGAGUUGCUCCCUUAAAUGGGGUAACCUGCGCAACCCUUGCCCUAUGUUUUACAUGUCAUGGGGGACUGCCUAGGACAACUAGGAGGAAGAUGAGGAUGACGCCAAAUCAGCAUGGCCCUUUGAUACCUUGGGCUGCACACGUGAUACAAUGGAGACGACAAAGGGGUGCGAAAAGGUAACUUGAAGCAAAUCCCAACAAACGUUUCCUCAGUUCAGAUUGAGGUCUGCAACCCGACCUCAUGAAGCCGGAAUCGCUAGUAACCGUGGAUCAGCCAUGUCACGGUGAAUGUGUCCCUGGGUCUUGUACACACCGCCCGU